rnacentral:misc_RNA from 1 species
UUAGAUAAAUUUAUGUCGUCGGUCGUGCCUAAUCAGAUUCCUAAGUGCAAUAUUAUCGGAGAUGCAAAAGUUACCAGUUAGGAAACUACAAACGCGCGCGUGUACUUGGAUAGUUGUAUGAUAACCUCGGCCACCGUAACACGUUAAAGGGCAAUGUCUAAAAUAAUAAAUUAAACACAUGUAACAGUUACACUAAUAUAUUUAUAUUAAAAUAUUGUACGUAAUCACUGUAAUUCAACUGAAACUGUUUAGGGUGUCAAGGUCCGAUUUAAAUUCGCCAGUAAUUACCUCGACGGUGCGCACUUCAGUGCAUGGAUCUGCCAGUGCUACUCCGACCAUACGCAUGAACGUGUACACGGCGACGACGACGACUGAUCGUGUAACUGCGGCUGAUUGCGAUGGCGGAGAAGGUGGACGAAACUAUAGCGGAUAUGACCGCGGCCGGAGCGUUUGGGCCGGACAACCGGCUUGUUUCGUUCGAACUGGAGGGUCUGCACACCGGACUGGAUCAGUUCGCGUCGUGCGUCCUGUACGGCUUGGCCACCGUCGACGACCGUGACGGCCGACGCCACGAUCAUCGGCUUGUGUUCAAGUUCAAGCACCCGACACUCGAAAAGCGGGAAUUUUACAAUAACGACAGGCAGUUCCACAAUGAGAAGCUGUUCUACGAACGUAUCGCUCCGUUCUUGUUGGCCAGCCGCGGCUCGCAGCGCAACGGUGACAGUACCGCGACACCCACGCUCUGCCGUUACUUUUACGGGCGCAAUGAUUGCGACGAACAGGCGCACCGAGACGUGAUCGUCUUGGAAAACGAAUCCGUCCGUGGAUAUCGGACGGCGGUGACUAGCCACAGGUUGUCUUUAGAUUUUGACCAUCUGAUCGUUGCACUCCGGACUUUGGCAAAAUUUCACGGGCUUUCCUACAGGGCAAAGCACGAGGACUCGUUGAAGUUCAAGGAGAUAAUUGCUGAUGUGAAAGAGACUCAAUGGUCCAAAGACGGUGAAUGGUAUUUCCAUCCCAGUGUACUCCAAGGAUUGUUUUCGGUGGCCUUGGACAGGCUAAAAGAACGUCACGUUGCGGAUGGUAGCUGCGGUGACAACGAAGUGGAGUGGAUUAGCCGGUUCCAGACGGAACUGUUGACUGAUGCUAUGCAAUCGUUGAGACGCAUAGUCGCUUCCGUCGGACCAAUGUCCGUCCUGUGCCACGGCGACUUCAACCGGAACAAUCUGCUGUUCCGGUACGACGACGGUGGCCGUCCGGUGGACGCGCUGGCGUACGACAUGGCCACCAUGCGCUACGGGUCACCGGUCCUAGACCUGUCGUUCUUCCUGUACAUGAACGCGGAUCGCCAGACUCGGGACGAUCACUGGGACGCGUUGCUGGACGUGUACUGCUCUACGCUGGCCGCGGAUGCGGGUGACGUCCCGGUGCCGGGCCGCGAUCAGCUGGACGCCGAAAUACGCGAAUACGGGUUCUACGGUCUGGUGCACGUGUCGUACUUCGCAGGUAUAAUGUUGGAGGAAACCACUCAGGUGGAUUGCAGUGAGUACUUUGAUGCCGAUGAAUUCAAGAUGUUGAAUUUGUUACUCAGAAAUGGCGGUGAACCGGCCAGAGAAUGGUUCGCCGACGCCGUUCAACACUUUAUCCGCUGCAAGUACGCCGGGUCACCCGCUUACAGCACCGUCGCCAAUGAAGAUUGCUUGCCGAACGAAAUAUAAAUAUUUUUUAUUUUGACUGUUGGUUUCUCGAGAGAAAUGUUCAAAACAUUACAUCCACAGAACGAUACGUCGUCGUCAUGAAAGUUUAAAGACUUCCGCUUUUCGUUUUGUGCGUGUUCACUUCUAUGUGCCAAAUACACUCAGUGUUUACAGACAAGAGUAAGCUACUAUCACGCAAUCAUUUUCUCUGUUUUACACACGCAUAUUAUACUAUAUUUAUAUUUCACAAUAUUCCAGUAAGAUAUUGUCACUUAAAAAUUAACAAAUGCACCCUUAUAAUUAAAUAUUAAUACAAUAACAUUAUCCGUGUUCUCUCUUUGGGUUUAUUCGAUGUUUGAAUUUUAAAACUAAUUCUAAGUAAUUUGAAAUUUUUAAAUUAACUGGUGUCCCGAUUCCCUUGACUAUCACAAUUAUAUUAUAUAGUGUUUUUUUUUCAUUAUACAUUGUAAAUAAAAAAAACAUUUUUCUGUAAAAUUGGAAUAUAUAUAUAUGUGAGCAAUACUUUUUUUUUUGUACAAGACAUUUAGUUUAAUAUGCACUAUUGUACAGAUAAAUUGUAAUUAAAAUAUAUUUAAAAAUUAUG